GACGACUUCCCAAACUAGCAAUAACCAAACAACAUCAAAUUAACAAUUGAAAUCCAAACCAUGAUCCAUAAUCCAAACUUGGGGUAAAAUGACCAUUUUACCUCUGGCCCAUCAAGACUCCCAACCAAGGCCCAAGCCCAAAACCAACAACACCGAAAACUAUAAGAUCCAUAAAAGCCCACUAAUGGCCCAAUUUUCCAAAUUGGGCCCAAUCCCAAAUGGGUCUUAUCCUAAGCCCAUAUUUUCCUUCAAUACAAUUCAGGUUACCUAAAACAUCCCUUGGGACAAACUCACUCAAAAGCAUAAGUCAAAAGUCAAAGUCAACACCAAAGUCAAUGGUCCAAGUGACCUAACUCUAGACCUGGCAAUGGGGCGGGUUUGGAGCGAAUCGACCUUGAUCCAAACCCUUUUAACAAAUUUCAAAAUCUGAUCCAAACCCGCUCCAUAACCCGCAUGGUUUUAAAUAAUCAAACCCAUACCCUUAUCCACCGAAUCAGCAGAUAUCCAAACCCGCCCUGUAACCCGUAAGUUUUUUGAAUAAUCAAACACAUUUUACUUAAAUCUUAAAAUCACAUUUAUUAAAUAAAACUAAGUUUUGAUUUAGAAAACACAUUAUGUACUCGAGGACUUUCUAUUGGAAUUAAAAUCAUUAUUUUAGUUACUUCCGAUUGGUUUUUGAUCGUCGAUUGCAUUGAUAGAGAAUAGCAAUUACAAACUUUCUUCUGGUUGAUAAAUUACCUUAUUGAUGUAUAAAUGAAAUUGGUGAUUACAUGAUGAAAUAUAAAUGAAACGAAAUCAUGACUUUUGGGAGAAGACUGGAAGUCUAGAAGUUGAGUCCUCGAGUCCUAUGUAAAAACAAUUUAGUCUUUGGCCUUUUCUCUUUGGACUUCUUAUUGGAAUUUAAUGUAAACUUUAGGUAAUAUAAAAUAUAAAUUUAUAUUUCCAAAAUUUAUAUGGGGCGGGUUAUAAACGGAGUGGAUCGGUGAUGAUCCAUACCCGACCCCUUUUAAUAAAAGGGUUAGCGGGUACGGGUCUUUAACGGGUAAACGGAUCAAAAACUAUGCUCCAAACCCAUAUAAUAGUUAAGGGUUUGGAUCGGAUCAGGGUCAAAACCCGCUCCAUUGCCAGGCCUACCUAACUCCCCAAGUUGAUCCUUCAACUUGGCGAGUUCGCAUCAAACCGCAGAAUCACGAAGAAUCGAUCCAACUCGUCGAGUUUUCCCAUCCUUUUCAUCAGAAUUGGGAUAAUCCUAAACCAAUUCGCCAAGUUCUCCUAUGAACUUGUC
rnacentral:lncRNA from 1 species